rnacentral:rRNA from 1 species
CGGGCGGCUGCAGUGGGGAAUAUUGCGCAAUGGGCGAAAGCCUGACGCAGCGACGCCGCGUGGGUGAUGAAGGCCUUCGGGUUGUAAAGCCCUGUCGGGUGGAACGAACGAUCUGGCGGCGAAUAACCGCCGGGUGUGACGGUACCACCGAAGGAAGCCCCGGCUAACUACGUGCCAGCAGCCGCGGUAAGACGUAGGGGGCGAGCGUUGUUCGGAUUUACUGGGCGUGAAGCGUGCGUAGGUCGGUAGGGAAAUCCCUCGGCUUAACCGAGGUCCCGCAUCCGAUACUGUCUGGCUCGAGUCUAGGAGAGGAAAGCGGAAUUCCCAGUGUAGCGGUGAAAUGCGUAGAUAUUGGGAGGAACACCGGUGGCGAAGGCGGCUUUCCGGACUAGUACUGACGCUGAGGCGCGAAAGCUAGGGGAGCGAACGGGAUUAGAUACCCCUGUAGUC